rnacentral:misc_RNA from 1 species
ACGUUAUAUCGGCAGCAUAAGCGAAGAAAAGUGGUCGGCAUAACUUCAGCGCAGAUAUGUAGGCGAGAGGAACGACCCAUGGAUGAUGACAAAUACAGUCCUUACAGGUGCGGCAUCUACUCUGAGCAAUGUGGCCAACACUAAACUCAUGUAUGGCAGCUAUGGUGCCGGUGUUUAUGGUGCGGCCGGAAGGACCGGCGUUGCAGGCGCUGCUGGAGCUGCUGGAGCUGCUGCAACUUCUGAACAUUCUGAAACUACAGAGGAAGCUGAAGGUGCAAGCUCCCAGGCCUAAGCAGCGAAAAACAUCUUGCCGCAUCUGUGCUCUACAAUAAAAUGAAAUGUAGAGUAAACAUUUUUUCGGUGUAUGGACUCACAUGCACAUAGCCAUUGUUGAAGUAAAUAAACAUCUAGUCGAAACGGG